rnacentral:rRNA from 1 species
UACAGAGGUCUCAAGCGUUGUUCGGAUUCAUUGGGCGUAAAGGGUGUGUAGGUGGCGCCGUAAGUCGGGUGUGAAAUUUCGGAGCUUAACUCCGAAACUGCAUUCGAUACUGCGGUGCUUGAGGACUGGAGAGGAGACUGGAAUUUACGGUGUAGCAGUGAAAUGCGUAGAGAUCGUAAGGAAGACCAGUGGCGAAGGCGGGUCUCUGGACAGUUCCUGACACUGGAGGCACGAAGGCCAGGGGAGCAAACGGG